UACGGAAGGCAGCAGUGGGGAAUAUUGCACAAUGGGCGCAAGCCUGAUGCAGCCAUGCCGCGUGUAUGAAGAAGGCCUUCGGGUUGUAAAGUACUUUCAGUCGUGAGGAAGGUGUUAAGGUUAAUAACCUUAGCAAUUGACGUUAGCGACAGAAGAAGCACCGGCUAACUCCGUGCCAGCAGCCGCGGUAAUACGGAGGGUGCGAGCGUUAAUCGGAAUUACUGGGCGUAAAGGGCACGCAGGCGGUUAAUUAAGUUGGAUGUGAAAUCCCCGGGCUUAACCUGGGAAUGGCAUUCAAGACUGGUUAGCUAGAGUCUUGUAGAGGGGGUAGAAUUCCAUGUGUAGCGGUGAAAUGCGUAGAGAUGUGGAGGAAUACCGGUGGCGAAGGCGGCCCCUGGGACAAAGACUGACGCUCAUGUGCGAAAGCGUGGGGAGCGAAACAGGGAUUAGAUACC
rnacentral:rRNA from 1 species